rnacentral:rRNA from 1 species
GAUGAACGCUGGCGGCGUGCCUAAUACAUGCAAGUCGAGCGAACGGACGAGAAGCUUGCUUCUCCGAUGUUAGCGGCGGACGGGUGAGUAACACGUGGAUAACCUACCUAUAAGACUGGGAUAACUUCGGGAAACCGGAGCUAAUACCGGAUAAUAUUUUGAACCGCAUGGUUCAAAAGUGAAAGACGGUCUUGCUGUCACUUAUAGAUGGAUCCGCGCUGCAUUAGCUAGUUGGUAAGGUAACGGCUUACCAAGGCAACGAUGCAUAGCCGACCUGAGAGGGUGAUCGGCCACACUGGAACUGAGACACGGUCCAGACUCCUACGGGAGGCAGCAGUAGGGAAUCUUCCGCAAUGGGCGAAAGCCUGACGGAGCAACGCCGCGUGAGUGAUGAAGGUCUUCGGAUCGUAAAACUCUGUUAUUAGGGAAGAACAUAUGUGUAAGUAACUGUGCACAUCCUGACGGUACCUAAUCAGAAAGCCACGGCUAACUACGUG